rnacentral:sRNA from 1 species
CUUGGUCAUUUAGAGGAAGUAAAAGUCGUAACAAGGUUUCCGUAGGUGAACCUGCGGAAGGAUCAUUAAUGAUUGACCGAAAAGGUCUUAUCUUAACAUCCCUCACCUCUGUGAACCGUUUGACCUCCGGGUCUAGCAAUACAAACAUCAGUGUAAUGAACGUCUUGUUAUCUUAACAAAACAAAACUUUUAACAACGGAUCUCUUGGCUCUCGCAUCGAUGAAGAACGCAGCGAAUUGCGAUAAGUAAUGUGAAUUGCAGAAUUCAGUGAAUCAUCGAAUCUUUGAACGCACCUUGCGCCUUUUGGUAUUCCGAAAGGCAUGCCUGUUUGAGUGUCAUGAAAUCUCAAUCCCAUCUGGUUUAUGAUCAGGUGUGGACUUGGACAUGGGCGUCUGCCGGUUACACGGCUCGCCUCAAAUGACUUAGUGGGAUCACUUGCAUCCGUGACAGACGUAAUAAGUUUCGUCUUGUCCCUUGCCUGUGUAAGCCUGCUCACAACCUGCCUUUGCGCAUUUUUUGACUCUGACCUCAAAUCAGGUAGGACUACCCGCUGAACUUAAGCAUAUCAAUAAGCGGAGGAAAAGAAACUAACAAGGAUUCCCCUAGUAACGGCGAGUGAACCGGGAAAAGCUCAAAUUUGAAAUCUGGCGUGCUCAGUGCGUCCGAGUUGUAAUCUAUAGAGGCGUUUUCCGUGCUGGACCGUGUCCAAGUCCCUUGGAACAGGGUAUCAAAGAGGGUGACAAUCCCGUACUUGACACGACGACCAGUGCUUUGUGAUACGUCUUCUACGAGUCGAGUUGUUUGGGAAU